rnacentral:tRNA from 1 species
GCGGCUGUAGUUUAGCGGUAAAAUAUGACCCUUCCAAGGUCGAGUCGGGGUUUCGACUACCCCCAGCCGCACCA